rnacentral:rRNA from 1 species
CCUACGGGAGGCAGCAGUGGGGAAUAUUGCACAAUGGGGGAAACCCUGAUGCAGCGACGCCGCGUGAGUGAAGAAGUAUUUCGGUACGUAAAGCUCUAUCAGCAGGGAAGAAAAUGACGGUACCUGACUAAGAAGCCCCGGCUAACUACGUGCCAGCAGCCGCGGUAAUACGUAGGGGGCAAGCGUUAUCCGGAUUUACUGGGUGUAAAGGGAGCGUAGACGGCAGCGCAAGUCUGGAGUGAAAUCCCAUGGCUUAACCAUGGAACUGCUUUGGAACCUGUGCAGCUAGAGUGCAGGAGAGGUAAGCGGAAUUCCUAGUGUAGCGGUGAAAUGCGUAGAUAUUAGGAGGAACACCAGUGGCGAAGGCGGCUUACUGGACUGUAACUGACGUUGAGGCUCGAAAGCGUGGGGAGCAAACAGGAUUAGAUACCCCAGUAGUC